rnacentral:rRNA from 1 species
UGGGGAAUAUUGGACAAUGGGCGCAAGCCUGAUCCAGCCAUGCCGCGUGAGUGACGAAGGCCUUAGGGUUGUAAAGCUCUUUUUGGCGGGGAAGAUAAUGACGGUACCCGCAGAAUAAGCUCCGGCUAACUUCGUGCCAGCAGCCGCGGUAAUACGAAGGGAGCUAGCGUUGUUCGGAAUCACUGGGCGUAAAGCGCACGUAGGUGGGCAGUUAAGUCAGGGGUGAAAGCCCGAGGCUCAACCUCGGAAUUGCCUCUGAUACUGGCUGUCUAGAGUUCGAGAGAGGUGAGUGGAAUUCCUAGUGUAGAGGUGAAAUUCGUAGAUAUUAGGAAGAACACCGGUGGCGAAGGCGGCUCACUGGCUCGAUACUGACACUGAGGUGCGAAAGCGUGGGGAGCAAACAGGAUUAGAUACCCAAGUAGUCCCUGAGCGGGCUGGCAAGGCGCAU